rnacentral:rRNA from 1 species
GGGCCCGCACAAGCGGCGGAGCAUGCGGCUUAAUUCGAUGCAACGCGAAGAACCUUACCUAGGCUUGACAGUUGGGGAAAUCUGGCAGAGAUGUCAGGUCCGUAAGGGCCCCAAAACAGGUGGUGCAUGGCUGUCGUCAGCUCGUGUCGUGAGAUGUUGGGUUAAGUCCCGCAACGAGCGCAACCCUCGUCGUAUGUUGCCAGCGGAUAAUGCCGGGGACUCAUACGAGACUGCCGGGGUCAACUCGGAGGAAGGUGGGGACGACGUCAAGUCAUCAUGCCCCUUAUGUCUAGGGCUGCACGCAUGCUACAAUGGCCGGUACAGAGGGCUGCGAAACCGUAAGGUGGAGCGAAUCCCAAAAAGCCGGUCUCAGUUCGGAUUGGGGUCUGCAACUCGACCCCAUGAAGUCGGAGUCGCUAGUAA